CCCGGCGCUCGGCGCUCGGGGAGGGAUUUUCUAGAAUUUCUACAAGUAUCUUGUUUGACCAGUGUUUGGAAUUUCAGAGCGUGGAAGGAGGUACCGGCCCUUGAGGCCUCUAACCCUGGCUCCUGCAACGGGAGUACUUGACAAGAAGGGAGAUUGGCGUCGAUGUCAGCUAUGGUAAGACCUGCUAAUCUAAGGUGCCCCCGUUGUAAUAAUGUAACCUAAGGGUGCCCAGCAACUCUGAGAGCAAAGGGUGUUUUAUUUUUUCACAACUUCUUCUUUUGA
rnacentral:lncRNA from 1 species